CAUAGAAGGUUACAGAGAACUGAUUUCUGAGGGAAGGAAUAUGCAGAAAAAACAGAUAUGGCUUCACAGCAGCAAAGAUUCUUUUUUUUGCAACUGUCUUUAGUAGUGACCACCACAAAAGAAAUCGUCCCAGAAAAAAUACUGAAGAAAGCAAUUAUCCUAGCCAGACACUGCCCAGCAUCUUUCUAGGAGCUGCCAUAGACUUAAAGGGUAUCCACAAUGUGCUCAAGCAUCUCUAGUACUGGCUUAGGCACCCUUGGAGUCAGAUCAUGUGCUCAGAUCUGCAGCAUUAAGGGCUCUACAGGGUAGUACUGUUUUAAUUUAGUACUUGAAUUUCAGAACAUUAAAUCAAACCCCUGUUUAUGAAGGGCCCAAGAUAUAACCCACAUGGAAAACAUGGACACAUACAGUCCUCCCCAUUACCUUUACCAUGGAAGCACUGCCCACAGAAUCUGUAGGUCUCAGAUGUCUUUCUCCUCGAGAUAGAGCAUUGCAAAAUGGGAUUCAUAGCGUAGGUGAACUGCACCUUCCUGUUUACAGGUGAGGGUAGCGGCCAACUGCUCAAUUUCAUCAGGAGGAGCCCUUAGACUCUCAACAAGUGGGCUGAUGCAGCCCCGAGUGUAAAAAGUUUGGGGUUCUCGCACUUCAGUCAUUAAUACAUUUCAGAGCUGGCUCAGUAGAGGUGGGGGGCUACAUCCUGUCAUUGUUGCAAAAGUCAAAUUUUAGGGAGCCAAAAUACUCAUCAAUUGACUCAUCCUCUGAAAUUUAUGGGCCCGCUUAUAGCUAUUUAGUAACUUGACCAAAUAUUCUUUUGUUUUAUUGCUCAUUGCAAAAUCCAGCCCUUAAAGUGCAAAUACCUAGGACUUAGCCACGCAUGGCACUGUUCACAAUUCCAGUGAAUAGUUACAUUAAGCUAUUGACAAUUGUUUGGGCAAGUCAGCGAGCACAAUUCACCCAUUUCUUCAGACUUUGGGGAUUCCUUUACCUCCAAACCAAACUGAACCACAGCCCCUACCUUGCUAAAUUGCUUCAUUUGCCACUACCUAACCCUGCUCUCUGAGUCAGUGGUAGACUGACCUGGAGACUGAAGAGCCAGACUGGGAAAAGCCUUUAGUGAAUGGCAGGUGAUCAGGCAAGAAUCACUCCUUUCCCUGUGCAAAAGUCUGCCAGAAUUGCGUGCUUCUUUCAAGCUGCACCACCACAGAGUGAAAACAGUACAUAGGAAGGGAGAAUAUGCUCCACCCCAUAGAACACUGGAACAGUGGAUUUAGUGCCAUUGCAAAAUCCAGAUCUCACCCUGCAGCAGUGGGCACUGCACCAUCCUCUACCCAACCAGUGCCUACUAGGCAUGAUAGAAGCCUUUAUCUUUUAGGAAUAUUAAUAACCAAACCUUUAUUCUAGUGCUCCAGGGAGCUUUCCUCAUGAACAAGGUGGAAAAGACUAUCCACAGUCUAUGUUAAAUCACCCUGAGUGAUUUAGGGGUCUAGAAUCUUCAUUCCCUGCUGCAGAAUAGACAGAUGCGUAUGUAGCAACCAGCAACAACGCUGUAUAAGAGUCGUAAACACAGUAACUUCAGCAAGAACCGUUACUAUAGAAAUCUCCAUGGUGAGUGAAGAUGACAAAGCUACGGACACAAUCAGCAAUUGAACAAUUUGCUUCCCUAUUGAUAGUUGCACCUGGUCCAAACACCCCAGCUGCACGCCAUGUGAAUUCUUUCCUGAGAUUUUUUCCAGCACUGGAGGGGAGAUAAUGUGUCAAGCUGUAAUCCUCCCCCUGCAAGACAUGGCAAUUUUUUGAUCUUGUAUCGCUAUACCUUAGCUCUCAUACUUUCCUCACUUUGCCUAAGACUCCUGGCUAGCUGCUUCCUUUGUGUUCUUCUCCUGCUCCGCUAUUCACAGCUUCUGCCAUGCUAUUCCUGUGCUUUGGGCCCUCCCCCUCUUCUUGGAGUAACUGCUAUUUCAGGUGCACAGGCAGUCUGAGAGCUAGGGAGGUCUGUGGGAGGCUGCAGAAGAGAUUCUCCAGGUGCAGGAUGGGGCACGGAGGAAACACUCUAAGCUCACUUCCAGACUGGAGGAAAGAUCCAGCAUGGUUGCCCCUGCUGUGAUGGCCCUGGAAUAUUGUUCCAUCUUGGGCUGGGGAGCCACAGAAGUCGUGUGUCCAAGGAGGGAAUGGGCAGGAAAGCAAGAUUCACCCUCCCCCAAUUCAUCCUCAAACCUACCACCUUUUUUAAGUCUAUCCCUCACUCUCUGCACACUUCUUCUCUUUACACACUUCUUUCCAUGAAACCUUUCACUAAUACACCAAUGAUAAACCAACAAACAAUUGGCUCCUCUCUGAUACUGGCCUUCUGGGCUGAGCUGGCCUCCCAUACUGUGGGUCUACACUCCACUGUUUAGAAUGAAUGCUAAGCUUCUUGGGGUAAGGACUGAGUCUUGGCUAGGUAUCAGAGCACUGAGCAUGCGCUUGGCAUUCCACAGAUAGAAAUCAGAGCUGCUGUAAUGUCCCUAUGGGUACGUCUACACAGCAAGCGAAGGUGGGAUUGCAGCAGGAGUCAGCCUACCUAUGCUAGUUUUAGCCUACAAGAGUAGUGGAGCUGGCACAUGCUCCAGCACAGACUAGCCACCUGUUAGGACAAAGCCUUGUUUUCCUCUGCUGGGCCCCAAGGCCUGACUAUGAUAACAGCCCAGCUGCAACAAGACUUUGAGCUUUGUUAAAACUUUCACUGAGUUUAUCAAAAUUGUAACCUCCUCCUGAAUUCUCACAGAUUUACAAGAAGCUGUUUUGCUGAAUCUCACUGUCUUUGCUCUGUUUCUCCUUAUCUGCAGAACCAGUCCACCCCAGCCUUUUCUCCCCCCUUACCCUGGCUCCACAUUCUUGUGCAAAGAUCCAUUCCUUCUUGAACAAAUAACCGAUAAACUAGGUGUAGCUGGUAUAAUGAUAUGCAAGAUGUACGGAACUGAUAUACAAGACUUGUACUCCUGUUAAUUCUUUGGAAGCUGCUAUUGAGCAUCCCCAAUGCAUUGCUAAUAAACCUGAUUAGUAUUAUUGGUGUGGCUGAACUCUUGGGAAAAGAAUUCCUUUGUUUAACAGUUUGGCCCAGCGAGCAGAGUGUGGUCGGCAACUCCUGGUGAUCCCCACGGCUGAGGACAGAGAACAUCAGAAAGAGCUGGUACCAGCUGAAGAGCAACCAAAAAGGCCAUGGUUCUACUGUCACAAAAAAACAAAAAAUUGUGUUCUUUAUUUAUGUCUAUGUUUGUCUUGUCUUGAGAUACAUGUUUUGCUAGCAUUGUUGGUAUCUGUUGGUUUGGUUUUAUUAAGGAGAAGAUAUUGUAAGUAAAGCAAAAGCUAGAGCAGGGAAGGGAAAGGGGGAAAAAAGUGUUCAGCAAGAUAAAAAAGGAUUGGGCCCAGACAAGCAGUAACUCUAAGAUGACUUAGUGGGAGUGUACGCUCCUUAGCCCCCACAUCACUAUUGCCCACUCCUGUCCCUUAGUUGAAGACCCUCUGUCUCCCAACCACUGUGUUUCUGAGCAACCCUUGCUCUCUUCAGAUCUUAUUCUCUUUGUAGAUGGAUCCAGAUACUAUGUCACAGGCCAACCUUAUACAGGCUGGGCUGUGUAUCCUCUCAGAAUCGUGCCUUCUCCUGCUCUGUUCAGGUUGCCGAAUUGGUUGCCCUUACCCACGUCUGUGUUCUGGCCGCAGGCCGGACUGGUACCAUUUACUCGCAUAGCUGGUAUGCUUUUGGUGUAGUGCAUGAUUAUUUGGCACCCUGGAUUUCUCGGGGGUACCUCACUUUGUUUGGUACCCUCCUGGAAAAUGGGGCGUAUGUUAAGCUGGUAGAAGCAAUUAAAAACCAUCUAAGUUAGCGGUAGUAAAAGUUAAAGCACACACUAAAAACAUGACUCACUCUCCCUAGCUAAUGCAAGUGCAGAUAAAGCCAAAAAAGCUGCUGCACUAACAGUUCCAAGGAUACAUACUGUAGCUGCUGCACAAGCCUCUGAACUUGAACAAAUUAGGCUGGCAGACAUGCAGGAUCAAUGCUCCAAAGAAGAAAAAUGGACAUGGAUUGAGAACGCAUGUAAAAUUGGUAACACGAAUACCUGGGUAACUAGAGAAUAACUAGAGAACAGUAUGUGGCCACCACGGCAAUUGCAGCUCAUUUCUGCCACCUCUAUCGUCUGCCAAUGCACCCAGGACCCCAGGCCAUGCUACAUCACAUGAAGGGGAAGUGAUGGUGGCCUGGGGAUGUCAGCUGAUGUGCAUAAUUAUUGCAGACGAUGCCUUGUUUGUGCUAGGUGUAAUUAAGAAGAUUACAAUGUAACACCAACCUAGGCCUACAAGGCCUAUGCAAAGUAUCCAGAUUGAUUUCAUAGGGCCACUGCCACCGGCCUGGGGAAAAAGUAUUGCCUGGUCAUGAUUGACCAUUUCACCUACUGGAUUGCUGCCUGGAUCAUAGCAAAUGAGUUUUGCCCCCGAUGGGGCCUGCCUUGUUCCAUUGAUUCAGACCAAGGAACACACUUCACAGGACGUGUGGUGAAGGAUGUCUACGCCACCUUAGACAUCAGACUAAAAUUCACUGCCCGUAUCAUCCCCAAAGCUCUGGAAUGGUGGGGUGGGCAAAUCAGACUUUAAAAAAGAAACUAAGUCCACCCUGGCCUUUUCUCCCCCCUUAUCCUGGCUCCAUAUUCUUGUGCAAAGAUUCAUUCCUUCUUGAACAAAGAACCAAUAAACUAGUUGUAGCUGGUAUAAUGAUUUUGCAUGUUGAAUGUAACUGAUAUAUAAGACUUGUACUCCUGCUAAUUCUUUGGAAGCUGAUGUUGAGUCUUGUCCGAUGCAUUGCUAAUAAACCUGCUUAGUAUUAUC